rnacentral:rRNA from 1 species
AUGGUUAAGAUUAACACGGAUGCUGCAUUUUCGGAGCGGUCUGGUGCAGGGGUCUGGGGUCUUAUUUGCAUAGACGAUGCACAUGAUAUUCAGUUUGCAACAGCAGGAGGUAAACAUGAUUUUGGUGAUGCAUUGCAGGCUAAAACUUUUGCCCUAUCUCAGGCAAGGUUGGAAAAAGCGAGCGAGGCGAUUGGCUUGGAGUGGGUCGAGCUAUCUUCGGGACUGACUCCAUGGUGCUUAUGCAAGCUGUUACCUCUAACGCCUAUGAUCUAG